rfam:Stegodyphus mimosarum contig47257, whole genome shotgun sequence.
GCCUUCAUGGUGUAGUGGUCAGCACGCUGGAUUCGUAUUCUAGAGUUCCGUGGUUCGAGUCCCGGCGAAGGCA